rnacentral:lncRNA from 1 species
GUUAGGAUAGCAGCUGUUAGGAUAGCAGGCUGGUAGGAUAGCAGUCGGUUUGGAUAGCAUCGGUUUGGAUAGCAGUCUGGUUAGAUAGCAGUCUGGUUAGAUAGCAGGCUGUUAGGAUAGCAGGCUGUUAGGAUAGCAGUCGGUUUGGAUAGCAGUCGGUUUGGAUAGCAGGCUGUAGGAUAGCAGGCUGUUAGGAUAGCAGUCGGUUUGGAUAGCAGUCGGUUGGAUAGCGUCGGUUUGGAUAGCAGUCUGGUUAGAUAGCAGUCUGGUUAGAUAGCAUCGGUUUGGAAGCAGUCGGGUUAGAUAGCAGUCGGUUAGAUAGCAGUCGGUUAGAUAGCAGUCGUUAGAUAGCAGUCUGUUAGAUAGCAGUCGUUAGAUAGCGUCUUAGAUAGCUCUGUAGAUAGCAGUCGUUAGAUAGCAGCGGUUUAGAAAGUCGUUAGAUAGCAGUCUUUAGAUAGCAGUCGGGUUAGAUAGCAGUCGGUUAGAUAGUCAGUCGGAGUUAGAUAGCAGUCGGUUAGAUAGCAGUCGGUUAGAUAGCAGUCGGUUAGAUAGCAGUCGGUUAGAUAGCAGUCUGUUUAGAAGGUCUGUUAGAUAGUCGUCGUUAUAUAGCAGUCUGUUAGAUAGCAGUCUGUUAGAUAGCAGUCUGUUUAGAAAGUCUGUUAGAUAGAGUUUGUUUAGAAGUCUGUAGAUAGCAGUCUGUGUAGAAAUCCUGUUAGAUAGUAGUCUGUUAGAUAGUAGUCUGUUAGAUAGCAGUCUGUUUAGAAAGUCUGUUAGAUAGCAGUCGGUUAAGAUAGCACUGUUAGAUAGCAGUCUGUUUAAAGUCUGUUAGAUAGCAGUCUGUUAGAUAGCAACUGUUAGAUAGCAGUCUGUUAGAUAGCAGUCUGUUAGAUAGCAGUCUGUUAGAAAGCAGUCUGUUAGAUAGCAGUCUGUUAGAUAGCAGUCUGUUAGAUGCACUGUUAGAUAGCAGUCGUUUAGAAAGUCUGUUAGAUAGCAGUCUGUUUAGAAAGUCUGUUAGAUAGUAGUCUGUUAGAUAGCACUGUUAGAUAGUAGUCUGUUUAGAAAGUUGUUAGAUAGUAGUCGGUUUAGAAGUGCUGUUAGAUAGUAGCUUUUAGAUAGUAGUCUGUUAGAUAGUAGUCUGUUUAGAAAGUCUGUUAGAUAGUAGUCUGUUUAGAAAGUCUGUUAGAUAGUAGUCGGUUAGAUAGUAGUCGUUAGAGAGGAGUCUGUGUAGAUAGUAGUCUGUUUAGAAAGUCG